AAUGAACGUUGGCGGCAUGGAUUAGGCAUGCAAGUCGAGCGAGAAGAGUUUUGAAGCUUGCCUUAGAACUCGGACAGCGGCGAAAGGGAGAGUAACGCGUAGUUAUGUGCCCUAGGGUCCGGAAUAGCCACGGGAAACUGUGGGUAAUGCCGGAUAAUAUCCCCGGAUCAAAGGUGUGAUUCCGCCCUAGGAGCAGACUGCGUCCUACUAGCUAGUUGGUGGGGUAAUGGCCCACCAAGGCAAUGAUGGGUAGCGGGUGUGAGAGCAUGACCCGUCUCACUGGGACUGAGACACUGCCCAGACACCUACGGGUGGCUGCAGUCGAGAAUCUUCGGCAAUGGGCGAAAGCCUGACCGAGCGAUGCCGCGUGCGGGAUGAAGGCCCUCGGGUUGUAAACCGCUGUCGUAGGGGAGGAAGGUUCCGUGAAGAGCGGGACUUGACCUAUCCUAGGAGGAAGUACGGGCUAAGUUCGUGCCAGCCGCCGCGGUAAGAC
rnacentral:rRNA from 1 species